CUAAAAAUAUGUCCGGCAUUCUUCUUCUUUCUCUUCCAGGAGAGAUCAUCAAGGAAAUACUCUCAAGGUUACCGGUUCAAUCUAUCUUAGCAUUCAGGUGCGUAUGCAAACCUUUUCUUGAAUUAUUAGGUGAUCUUCGUCGAGAUAAAGAGUUCGUCAAGCUACACCUUAAUAAUGCUAUUAAGAGCAACUACUUGAAUAUCAUGUUAACGGGAAAUAAUAGAAUGUAUUCAGUAGGUUAUUUUGAUGCAUCGUCACCGUUAUCAUGCAAGAAUGCUAUUGAGAUAAACUAUCCAUUAAAAUCUGAUUGCAAUGAUAAAGAUGUUAGAAUUUGGGGUUCCUGUAAUGGCUUGCUUUGCUUUGGGAUUUUUGAGGAUGAUUGUAUUUGUUUAUGGAACCCAUCUACAGGAGAGUACAGGAAAAUACCACUUCCGCCAUUAACUUCAGGUUUUUCAUGCCGCAUACGGGUCAUAUGGGUUUGGUUAUGAUUACUUGAAUGAUGAUUACAAGUUGGUUAGGAUAUUAUUUGGGGACGAUAACAAAUCUGAAGUACAAGUCUAUACGCUAGGAACAAGUUUAUGGAAAAGCCUCGGGAAAGCCCCUAUUAAUGUGCAUCUUUACGGGAAACGUGGUGUCUAUCUUCAUGGAUGUGUUCGCUGGAGAGGAAGUAUCACUAACGCUUAUCUUCCCCAACAUGUUAUAGACACUUUCAGCUUGAACAAUGAGGGCUUCGAGGUAUUGUCGUUACCGAUAAAUUUUGAUAACGGUAUAAUGAUCAAUGACUUGAGUGUGUUGCGUGGAUGCCUUUGCUUAGUUUCUACUCAGCCAGGAUGUCUUACUGAUGUAUGGUUGAUGACGGAAUAUGGAGUGGUAGAAUCUUGGACCGUAUUGUUCACGAUAUAUCAUGAUACGAUUGAUAAGUAUUACCUAUAUACGAGCGAGAUGGUAUUUUCUCUCAAAAAUGGUGAGAUUCUUUCACAGUCUACCGUUAAAAGAUCCGAUGAUUAUGAGUGGCUUGGUUGUUUUGUCUUAUAUGAUGAAAAGAAGAACACAAUCAGGGAUGUUACUAUCGAAGGUCUUCCUAACGAAUUCCAAGCAGAAACGUGCCUACAGAGCUUUGUUUCACUUUAAGUCGGGUACAUACCGAGGGGAUCGAGAUUAACUAUAAGCUGGUGAAGCAACAUCAAAGAACAUGAACAAUGAAGGGAGGAGGUACAUCCGUACAGGGGAGAAUACACCUUCAAGCAUGAAUAGCCCGCCAUCAAAGUUAUCAAGGAGAAGUUAGAUUCUACCCAAACGGGAAAGUUUAAGAGACACAUGUUUUAGCCAUCCAGUGAGCCUGGCAGAAACUCAAAUUCUGUAGAAAUUUGAGAUAUUCAAGAAUUGAAUUCAAUAUACAUACAAAGGCAACUAUAGGUGUUGAACUUCAGACACAAAGUAUGGAAAUUGAUGGGGGAAGAAGUUAAAGCUCAGAUUUGGGAUACUGCUGGUCAAGAAAGAUUUGGAGCUGUUACUUCUGCUUGUUAUAGAGGUGCUGUUACAAGAAGGACUACUUUUGAUAGCGUUGGUCGUUGGCUUGAUGAACUCAACAGAAGUGAUAAGUCUGAUUGUUAUGGAACAACUGUGCGGUACAUUCUGAUACAACUAUAGGGUGGAUGCUGGUUGGGGACAAGAGCGGGUUAGGGAAUAUGGGAGAUGUAGUGUUGAAGAAAGGAAAAGCUUAGCAGAGGCAGAAGGGUUGUUCUUCAUGGAGACAUCUUCCUUAUGUUUAACCAAUGUCUUAACUGCUUACGAAAUGGUUAUCAAAGAAAUAUAGUUGUAUCCAACAAUGUAAGUCGGAAAGUCUUGAAUUCUGAGCUUACAAAGCUGAAUUGUCUACCAAAAGCGUCAGUCUUUUUGACGAAAAAUGUUCAAGAUGACUUUCAAAUCCAGCACAGGUAUUUGAGUUUGCUCGAUUAAUUGCUAGUCAUACAUUUGAUGGAGGAUGUCUUUACUUUUGAUUUUUAUACCCCACUGAAGUGUUUCGCCAUUGGAGAUGAUUUUUUUUGGU